ACUCUUCUAGUAUAGCCAUUACAAUCGACUUCCAAUCCUUAAAGUCUGGUGCAACCCCAGAGAAGAGUA
rnacentral:tRNA from 1 species